GCAUCAGUAGUCCAGUGGUUAGGAUGCUGCCCUCCCAGCCUCAAAUGAGCUGAAAGGCAGAGGUCGCGAGUUCGAAUCUUGCCUGAUGCA